rnacentral:rRNA from 1 species
GCUGGCGGCAUGCUUAACACAUGCAAGUCGAACGGUAACAGGCCCUUCGGGGUGCUGACGAGUGGCGGACGGGUGAGUAAUGCUUAGGAAUCUACCUAGUAGUGGGGGACAACCCGGGGAAACUCGGGCUAAUACCGCGUACGCUCUACGGAGGAAAGCGGGGGCUCUUCGGACCUCGCGCUAUUAGAUGAGCCUAAGUCGGAUUAUCUUGUUGGUGGGGUAAAGGCCUACCAAGGCGACGAUCCGUAGCUGGUCUGAGAGGACGAUCAGCCACACUGGGACUGAGACACGGCCCAGACUCCUACGGGAGGCAGCAGUGGGGAAUAUUGGACAAUGGGCGCAAGCCUGAUCCAGCAAUGCCGCGUGUGUGAAGAAGGCCUGCGGGUUGUAAAGCACUUUCAGUAGGGAAGAAAAGCCUAGGGUUAAUACCCCUGAGUCUUGACGUUACCUACAGAAGAAGCACCGGCUAACUCCGUGCCAGCAGCCCGCGGUAAUACGGAGGGUGCAAGCGUUAAUCGGAAUUACUGGGCGUAAAGGGCACGCAGGUGGCUUGGUUA